rnacentral:misc_RNA from 1 species
AUACGAAACGCGUAAACAGAGAGUCAACAUGUAAACAGGCCACUCGCGAGACAAACAACGUGGGGGCCGCGGGCUGUUCACUGAACGAGGCAGCCAGGCUCUCGCCUGUUCGUUCGUUCGUUCGUUCGUUCGUCCGUUCGUUCGUUCGUUCGUUCGUUCGUUCGUACGUACGUACGUACGUACGUACGUUCUCUCUGCUGGCAUUCGGUGUGUGCUUCGUUUCCGUCCGUCGCUCUCCGUGCGUUAGCUCUCCGCUCGGUGUGUCGGAUUUAUCGAAUCUCGUGGCGGCGUCCGUCCACGGAUAACCGGCGUGUGGUGUUCCAACGUCGCAAGUCAGCCAUCGAUCGUGCGCUUCUCGUUCGCGUUUUAGUUGGACGGAUAACGGCGCGAUAACGCGGUCGGAAAGCGCGGAUCGAUCGGAGGAACGGAUUUCGUUUCCAGUUUUUUCUUUCUAUAUACUGGUGCGACUCAAGGCCGAGACGAACGUGUUUUGGGAGGAUACGUGUCGGUGGUCACACCGACCGACCGACCGGCCUCUGUGCGUCGUCGUGUUUCCCUCUCGGUGCACGUGAUUCUCCUCCGCUUAUUAAUUUUAUGCGUCGUAUAAAACCUCGUCGAAAUCUAUCGGCGAAUAAUCAAUAACGCUUUUGUUACGGGAUAAAGCGAAAGAUCGUUCGAAUUAUAAUAAUAAUCGUGCGUUCGCGCUCCAUUUGUUUUGUUUUGUUUCGAAACGGCGUACGAACGAAAAGUUCGUAGAAUCGAACGAAUACGUUUUAUUUACGUGUACGGAUUAUUUCUCCGUAUGUAUAUAUCGGUGGAUUAACCGUGUUGAUAUUUCCCCCCUCGUGUUUCAAAGACGCAAUAUUUCGAAGGAGCGUUUAGUUCGACACGCACCGUUCCCCGACAAUGACGCGUAAUUGUGUUUCGUGCCGUAUUAAUAGAAAAUCGAUCAGUGUUGGUUUGUGCACGUGAAAUUUGUGGUGAUUUGUGAUCGAGAGGGUGGGAGAGGGAGAGGGGGAGAGAGAGAGAGACAUACCUUGGCCGAUGGUCAACAGGUGUACGCCUUGAUGAUACACCGAUGAGACGAUGGAGAUCGCUGUUAACAUCCGUGUACAGUGAAGAGGAGGUGCUGUUGCGUUCUCGCGUGAAUCAUUAGUUUCUUGCUGCGGUUCGCUACCACGUCAGUGGUGUAUACUUCCCAGGCUUCUGAGACAAAGUGACAUGGCUUGUUAAUGACGAUGGCAUAAUGGAUCAUGACACAGACGGAGACGGAGCGAUCAACUUGUCAACGUCACAGCGACCCUCCGCCGCCACCACCCCUAACGGUGACACCCCCUCGUACGGCCAAGAUCAACAAGACAACGACCAGGCUACUUCGCUGUUUGCAGCCCUGAAGCAGCAACAACAGCAACAGCAACCGCGCGACACUGUCCCCUCGUCGAGGGAGCGCGAGAAUCGAGAUCGAGAUCGACUGUCUGUCCGUAACCGUGAGAACAAUCGGAACGAGAUAGGUGGUGGCGUGACGGAGCAAUCGCAGCCAACGCAGCAGCAGCAGCAGCAACAGGAGCUCACGAUCGAGUAUCAGAGCAAUGGAAAGCUCAGUCCCGCUGGGCACGCAGUGACAGCAGCACCCAUGACCCAGCAAAAGCAGCCUAUCAUCACGCAGCAAUCGCAACAGCCGAGCUCGGGGGCGCCUGGUCCCCAACCGAGUCCUCAUCAGAGUCCGCAGGCCCCUCAGAGGGGUUCGCCGCCAAAUCCUUCGCAGGGUCCCCCGCCGGGAGGGCCGCCAGGGGCACCACCUUCGCAAAAUCCCUCGCAGAUGAUGCUCAGCCCGGCUAGCGGCAUCCACCAGAUGCAACAACUGCUGCAACAACACAUACUCAGCCCCACCCAACUGCAAUCCUUCAUGCAGCAACACUCGCUCUAUUUACAACAGCAACAACAGCAACAUCAUCAGGAUUCCUCGUCGGAGCAUGCGUCCAAUCAGGAACGAUUCGGUUACUUUUCGUCCCUCAAAGACCAUCAACACCAGUUCGCCGAGCUGGGCAGGAAGAAGUUGGAGCAGGCGAUACAGCAACUGCAGGAACAGUUGCAGUUGAACGUGAUCCAGCAGACGCAUCUGUUGCAAACGGCGGACAAGAAGAAGGCGUCCGCCCCGCUUCAGCAAUUGGCGCUUCAACAGCAACGUCUGAUACAGCAACUGCAGAUCACGCAGAGCCAAUAUCUUCUUCAACAGGGUCUGGGUCUUCAGGGUCACAAUCCUUCUUCGGGUCUCCAACCUGGCGAGGGACUACCAAUGUGGAAAUCGGACACGUCGGAUGGUCCGGAAUCGCAUCAGAACUCGAACGUUCCAAAAUCCGUGGCUGGACUCAAUGGACUUCUCAAUUCGACAGUGUCGAGUCGGCGGUCGGAUAUGAACGGAACCACUCCAUUGGACGAGAAACCGCUGGACGUUUCCUCCAACGACAAGGUUCAUCCCCUGUACGGUCAUGGGGUCUGUAAGUGGCCGGGCUGUGAAGUUAUUUGUGAAGACUAUCAAGCAUUCCUUAAACACUUGAACACGGAGCACACGCUGGACGAUAGAUCGACGGCGCAGGCCAGGGUCCAGAUGCAAGUGGUCUCGCAACUGGAGAUCCAGUUGCAGAAGGAACGGGACCGGUUAACCGCCAUGAUGCAUCACCUGCACGUGGCGAAACAAAUGGCUUCCCCCGAACCGCCAAAGUCGUCCGAGUCAUCGACGGGCUCGAGUAUACCAAAGUUAAAUCUCUCCACCGCUCUGAUGAGCCAGCCACCACCGAAUUUCGGUGUCUCUCAAGUGUCUCCCGUCUCGAUGUCCGCUUUGGUGUCAGCGGUCAGGUCACCAGCAGGUGGACAACUGCCACCUUCGGCCGGAGCACCUAUGCCACCCAUCCCUAACAUGUCCAACAUGUCAGGGAUGCCUCCGUUGCCGAAUAUGCCUGGUAGCAUGCCCACCAUGCCUACCAUGCCCAGCAUGGCGGGGCCCAUCAGACGACGUAUCAGUGAUAAAUCCGCGCUUUCCUUGGCAGGAGGACUGUAUGACGAGGGCACUGUAAGGCGCAGAGUAGCCGUCGAUAGAUCUGGAAUAGAUAUUAACGAAGAAAUUCAACGAAAUAGGGAAUUUUACAAGAAUGCCGACGUCAGACCGCCGUUUACAUAUGCAUCAUUAAUUAGACAGUCGAUCAUCGAGUCGCCGGAUAAACAGUUGACCUUGAACGAGAUCUACAACUGGUUCCAGAACACAUUCUGCUACUUCCGGCGCAACGCAGCAACGUGGAAGAACGCGAUCCGCACCAAUCUAUCAUUGCACAAGUGUUUUGUGCGCUAUGAGGACGACUUCGGGUCAUUCUGGAUGGUGGACGACGCCGAGUUCGUAAAGCGGCGGCAUCUGUCCCGCGGCCGCCCCAGGAAAUAUGACCCAACCCCAUCACCCACUCCACCCCACCUCUCCGCACAGGGUGUCCCGUCGAAAAGUCCAACCCUGACGCAUAGCCCGACCAUGUACGGUGAUCCAUCUAAUGCAAUUUGAGUAUUUCCAGGCGGCACUCGGGGACUCUAAUAUGGGAUUUCUAAACAACUCGAUGUGCACGUCGACGACAACGAGCCCCGACAAGGAGCACGUGUUAGCCCAUAACGAUUUAAUGUCACCGUUGGAUGAACCAGCCGUGCACAUAAAGCAGGAGGGCCAAAGCCCGGAGGGUGGAAAACUGACGAGAUUAAUAAAACGAGAGCUGGUUGACGCGCCCGCGGAUCAAGAGGGUGAUGACGAUCAGGUGGACGAGAGGGAGUAUCCAGAGAGUCACGGGCACGAUUCCGGACAGGACGAGGACAUGGCCGAAGACUUGUCGAUGGCGCCCGACAUAAUGACCCCGGAGGAUCAGAUCGAGGCGUAGUAUCGCACCUCGAGGAGCGAAUAGAUUCGAGCUGUCGCGUCGAAGUACAGAUCGUGAUGGAAGAAGAAGAAGAAGAAGAAGAAGAAGAAGAAGAAGAAUAAGAAGCAGCUUCUCUUCCUCCUCGAUAGAGAGCCAAGAUCAGGGAAACCAGAGGCGCGCGAAUGUAUGAAAUGAAUGAAGAGAGGGGGGAAAAAAGGUGUAGAGGAAAAGAAAGGAAAAGAGGAAGAAAAAGAAGAAUGGAAGAAGAAUAGGAGAAGAAGACGGUGAACGAAGGCCCAGCCAGGACCACCCAGCCCUCCACUCCUCCUUCGUAAGAGAAUCCCCAUUUAUCAUAUCCAAGGCCGUGAUACGUUUUAUCGAGGCGGCUUUUAAAAGGUAAAGGCGAAAGAAGAAAAAUGUACACUGUGCGUGAUCGAUCGCGACGAAACGUCGAACUCGAGAGAAAUAUCGGCGAAUAUCGUGAUAUAGGCGGCGCGAUCCUUCGAUCCAUAUCCUUACUCAAGCAAUUACGAACAACGAUGUAUUUUAUGUUCUCCAAUUCCGUUUCGUUUUUCGGAACCGCGGUUAAUAUCUCUAUAUAAAUAUAUAUAUAUAUAUAUAUAGGUAAAAAAAAAUAUAUAUAUAUAUAUCUUUCUCUCUCUAUCUCUCACUUUCUCUUUCGUGUACAUUGCAUUAACGAGUGAAUCGUUGAGAUGAAAACGAAUAGCAUCCGCGAUUGUUCGUAGCGUUUCGGCGAAUAAAUGUUAACCGAUGAUCCUUUCACGAAUGUACAGGGGAAAAGAGAAGUGUUUUUCCCGCUCCUGACUCGUUUUCCGCUUUCGAUAUCGUGUCAGCACUCGCGUGUACGGCUACGUUUCUGCGUGUGCUAAUCGUGUCUAUNNNNNNNNNNNNNNNNUUUUGGACCAAUUUGGAUAGAUGUUUAAAAAAAAAAAAAAAAGGAAAAAAAGGAAAGGAAAAGAAUAUUUUAUUUAGAUGAAAGGUAAUUACGAUCGAUAUCAUUUUUUACAGAAUAGACUAUUCACUUUUUCUAAAUUUCUUGCAUGAUUCUUCCUGUUAAAAGAAAAAAAAGAAGGAAGACGCGUUCGAGGGGGCACGCAGAAUGUCUCGAAGAUAAUGAUAAUAAUAAGAGGGAGCGAACAGGUAGGGAAGGUUGGAAUUAAACUUAAGGAGUAAAUAAAGAAGCUGUGGUGUGGGCAGUGUUCUGGGUACGCGCGGGAACUGACUGACGCUUUAGUCUUUAAUAUAUCGUUCGUGGUAAAUUAAGAAUUUCGCGAGUAUCAAAAAUGUCUAUUAAAAAAAAAAAAAAAAAAAAAAAAAAAAAGGAAGAAAGAAAAAAAAAAGAAAAAGGAGGAAAGGAAAAUUAAUUUCCUUAUAUCAAAGGUGAAACUUAAACUUAAGGAAAACACGUAUGUCCGCGUAUGAAACACGGAUCCCGAUCCCGGCGUACCCGUUUGCUGCCCUCUUGCUACUCACUGUAUAGUUUAGGGAAAAUUAAAUGUAAGUAGUGUCGUAAACGAUCGACGAUCAUAGACGUCGAUGAGAUUCGUGUGCGUCGAGAUAAAACGUACACGCCGGUGCUACAAAUAUAUUCAUAGUUUUACCAAACUAAAAUAUUCGUUCGCGUCGUGAAAUUUUUGAACGAAUUUGUGAGUAACGAAAACGAGAUCGAGGACAGUCGGUCGAGAAGGAGUGACGAAAAAUGAUGGGAUUAAAAGGUAAAAGAAAAAGAAAAAGAAAAAAAAAAGAAGAAGAAGAAGAAGAAGAAGAAAAAGAAGAAAGCGGAUGCCGUGAACGCACUUAUAAAUAAAUUAAAAUUACUCUGUACGCAUAUACAUAUACAUAUAUUAAUUACGUAUACGUAUCUCGGAAAUUAUAAGGAAAUUAGAUGUCGAUGGCCCUGUUCUUCGUUCUCCAUCCAACAGAUCCUUAAGAGAAAUCCUCCCCCCUCCCCCUGUUCGAUCUUUUUCUCCCUAGUCCCGCGUAAGUUCAAGCUCGGUUCCGAAUUUUUAGAAAAAUUGGGACUGCGUCCAAAAAUCGAAAAGGAACGAGAAGAUAAACAUUUUGAGGGGCCGUUACUCGUCGGAUCUUCGCCCCCCCCCCCCCUUUUACGUACACGCGUUCGAACACAUUUUCAUACGUACAUACAUACAUACAUAAACAUACAAAUACACAAACAUUAACACACGAGUUAAACGAAAGCGUGCUCAGGUCGGUACGAUAGAGAAUUAUCGGAGUUCUAUAUCGCUCGUUGGUCGCUUGGUAUCGAAUCGUAAUUUAUUAUUUCAAUGGUCGUUGACGCCAUUUAAAAUGUAUGUAAAAAAAUCGUGCGUGCCGUUUUUAAUCGCGCUGCAGCGACCGGGAGACGAUCGUGUGUGAUAUUAUUCCGUUCGAAACCCGUAGCCAUAUAAUAUGUAUACAUGGUAUAUAUAUGGUAUAUAUACACGUUUGUUUGUAAUAUUUUUGUAAAUUAUAUUCGUUCCCGGGAACGUGUUGUAGAUAGAUUUAGAGAUCGGUGAGCUCCGUUACAUUGUCAGGGUAUUAAUUGCUCGACGAACCAUACUCUUCCGUCGCUGUGGGGUGGUGCAUCGUUUUCGUGUAUUCGUUUAUUAUACACGUGGAACCGCGAAGAGAUCGAUCGUUCUUUAAGCAUUUAUCGGGCGACAGUAAUCGUUUAAUCGCCGGUCGUAAGAAACGUCGAUCGACGUCGUCUGUGACACCUUUGCGUUUUAUUCUCGUUAGAAAGAUAUUAAUUCCGAUUACGAUUAUAUUAGCUCGACUCCAAUUAGUAAUAUUAGCAUGACGAGAAGCAUCGUGUCAAUCUUUUAUUAUUAGCGCUUGAUCGGUUCAAUUUAUUUCAAACGUUUCGAUCGUGUCGCUCGAUUAUCUGGAAACGACGUGGCCGCGAUCGUUCUUUUUUUUUUUUUAGUUUUUUUUUUAAUAUUCUUUUUUCUUCUCUCUUUUUUUUUUUUUUUUUUUUUUUUUAACAAUUCGUUCAUUCCUGCGUUAUGUCUGUGUCCAUUCCGCGAAAUAAAAUAGUGGUUAGCUUUUAGGAUGGUUAAGUUAUCGUCCACAUUGAUUUCCCUUUUAUCCAUCGAUUCUCCAUUUUGUUCACGAUCCAUCAUCUUUCGACAUCCAUAACUCGUUGUUGGCGAGUGAUUGAAAAAAAUUUUUUCAAUAAGAGAGAGAGAAAGGGAUCAAACGAGGAAAACGCGUAGUGCGAGUGUGUACAAUUGUCGCGUGCGUCAUCGAACAUUGGAUGUUAUAAAAAUAGAAG